CGGGAUGUAGCGCAGUCCGGCUAGCGUACCUGAAUGGGGUUCAGGUGGUCGUGAGUUCGAAUCUCACCAUCCCGA
rnacentral:tRNA from 1 species